rnacentral:rRNA from 1 species
GUGAGUAACACGUAUCUAAUCUACCUAUUAGCGGGGGAUAACAGUUGGAAACGACUGCUAAUACCGCAUACGACAUUUUCUGGCAUCAGAGAAUGUUAAAAGGUCCGUUUGGACCACUAAUGGAUGAGGGUGCGGCGUAUUAGUUAGUUGGUGGGGUAAUGGCCUACCAAGACAAUGAUACGUAGCCGAACUGAGAGGUUGAACGGCCACAUCGGGACUGAGACACGGCCUGAACUCCUACGGGAGGCAGCAGUAGGGAAUUUUUCACAAUGGGCGAAAGCCUGAUGGAGCAAUGCCGCGUGACUGAAGACGGUCUUCGGAUUGUAAAGGUCUGUUGUAAGGGAAGAACAGUAAGUAUAGGAAAUGAUACUUAUUUGACGGUACCUUACCAGAAAGCCACG